rnacentral:rRNA from 1 species
GAUGAACGCUGGCGGCGUGCCUAAUACAUGCAAGUCGAGCGAACGGACGAGAAGCUUGCUUCUCUGAUGUUAGCGGCGGACGGGUGAGUAACACGUGGAUAACCUACCUAUAAGACUGGGAUAACUUCGGGAAACCGGAGCUAAUACCGGAUAAUAUUUUGAACCGCAUGGUUCAAAAGUGAAAGACGGUCUUGCUGUCACUUAUAGAUGGAUCCGCGCUGCAUUAGCUAGUUGGUAAGGUAACGGCUUACCAAGGCAACGAUGCAUAGCCGACCUGAGAGGGUGAUCGGCCACACUGGAACUGAGACACGGUCCAGACUCCUACGGGAGGCAGCAGCAGGGAAUCUUCCGCAAUGGGCGAAAGCCUGACGGAGCAACGCCGCGUGAGUGAUGAAGGUCUUCGGAUCGUAAAACUCUGUUAUUAGGGAAGAACAUAUGUGUAAGUAACUGUGCACAUCUUGACGGUACCUAAUCAGAAAGCCACGGCUAACUACGUGCCAGCAGCCGCGGUAAUACGUAGGUGGCAAGCGUUAUCCGGAAUUAUUGGGCGUAAAGCGCGCGUAGGCGGUUUUUUAAGUCUGAUGUGAAAGCCCACGGCUCAUCCGUGGAGGGUCAUUGGAAACUGGAGAACUUGAGUGCAGAAGAGGAAAGUGGAAUUCCAUGUGUAGCGGUGAAAUGCGCAGAGAUAUGGAGGAACACCAGUGGCGAAGGCGACUUUCUGGUCUGUAACUGACGCUGAUGUGCGAAAGCGUGGGGAUCAAACAGGAUUAGAUACCCUGGUAGUCCACGCCGUAAACGAUGAGUGCUAAGUGUUAGGGGGUUUCCGCCCCUUAGUGCUGCAGCUAACGCAUUAAGCACUCCGCCUGGGGAGUACGACCGCAAGGUUGAAACUCAAAGGAAUUGACGGGGACCCGCACAAGCGGUGGAGCAUGUGGUUUAAUUCGAAGCAACGCGAAGAACCUUACCAAAUCUUGACAUCCUUUGACAACUCUAGAGAUAGAGCCUUCCUCUUCGGGGGACAAAGUGACAGGUGGUGCAUGGUUGUCGUCAGCUCGUGUCGUGAGAUGUUGGGUCAAGUCCCGCAACGAGCGCAACCCUUAAGCUUAGUUGCCAUCAUUAAGUUGGGCACUCUAAGUUGACUGCCGGUGACAAACCGGAGGAAGGUGGGGAUGACGUCAAAUCAUCAUGCCCCUUAUGAUUUGGGCUACACACGUGCUACAAUGGACAAUACAAAGGGCAGCGAAACCGCGAGGUCAAGCAAAUCCCAUAAAGUUGUUCUCAGUUCGGAUUGUAGUCUGCAACUCGACUACAUGAAGCUGGAAUCGCUAGUAAUCGUAGAUCAGCAUGCUACGGUGAAUACGUUCCCGGGUCU